AUACAAAACAACAACAAAAGAACAAGCCAAAACAAAUCACUAAAGAGAAACAGAAUGGGAACAACUAGACUGGCCUGCAUGGUAAGGUUACCCAAGAACUAUUUGAACACGACAAACAUUUAAUUUGCUAGAUGGCUCCUCCUUUUUCCCAGAUCUAAGGAAAUCUCUCGCCGGAAGCCAUGCCACAGAGCGCUCGGGCAGCUUGCAGAGAAGGAUGCAACCCACGCUGGCCCCAGAGGACCCUAG